rnacentral:rRNA from 1 species
GGACUACAGGGGUAUCUAAUCCUGUUUGCUCCCCACGCUUUCGCGUCUCAGCGUCAGUCACUGUCCAGAAGGCCGCCUUCGCCACCGGUGUUCCGCUUGAUAUCUACGAAUUUCACCUCUACACCAAGCAUUCCACCUUCCUCUCCAGGACUCUAGCCCUGCAGUUUCGAAUGCACUUCCAUAGUUGAGCCAUGGGAUUUCACAUCCGACUUGCAGGGCCGCCUACACGCGCUUUACGCCCAGUAAUUCCGAACAACGUUUGCACCCUCUGUCUUACCGCGGCUGCUGGCAC